GUGGGGAAUAUUGGACAAUGGGCGAAAGCCUGAUCCAGCCAUGCCGCGUGUGUGAAGAAGGUCUUCGGAUUGUAAAGCACUUUAAGUUGGGAGGAAGGGCAGUAAGUUAAUACCUUGCUGUUUUGACGUUACCGACAGAAUAAGCACCGGCUAACUUCGUGCCAGCAGCCGCGGUAAUACGAAGGGUGCAAGCGUUAAUCGGAAUUACUGGGCGUAAAGCGCGCGUAGGUGGUUUUGUAAGUUGGAGGUGAAAUCCCCGGGCUCAACCUGGGAACUGCCUCCAAAACUGCAUGACUAGAGUACGGUGGAGGGUAGUGGAAUUUCCUGUGUAGCGGUGAAAUGCGUAGAUAUAGGAAGGAACACCAGUGGCGAAGGCGACUACCUGGACUGAUACUGACACUGAGGUGCGAAAGCGUGGGGAGCAAACAGGAUUAGAAACCCCAGUAGUCC
rnacentral:rRNA from 1 species